GGGUUGUCUUGGUUUUGAAUAAAUAACUUUGGUCGUUACGUGGAAAUCGGCUAAGGUGGCACCCCCUUCUCCACACAAAGUACUCGGGACCUCGCAUACCGUUGACCGGCAGUCCACGACUUGACGAGCCCCUACCAUCAUCCCGGAUCACAACCCGAACCGUCCGAGAAGGAGCACUGCCGCCACCACCACUACUGCCGAUGCAUUUGCCGCCGUGGCAGCCACUCGAAGAGAGCGUUGUUGUGUGGUAUUUCAAGUUCCCCAUCAUGAUAA